rnacentral:hammerhead_ribozyme from 1 species
UCACUUCUGACGAAUCCCAAAUAGGACGAAACAACUGUCCAGGUAG